AGAUAGAGACAUGCGCGCAUAUCAAUAAGCGGAGGAAAAGAAACUAACAAGGAUUCCCUUAGUAACGGCGAGUGAAGCGGGAAGAGCUCAAAUUUGAAAUCUUCAAGGUUUUACCUUGACGAAUUGUAGUUUAAAGAAGUGUUUUCUGCUGAAGUUUUGGUAAAAGUUCUUUGGAAUAGGACAUCAUAGAGGGUGAGAAUCCCGCAUUUGACCAUUAUUUUCAGCUUUGUGAUACACUUUCAAAGAGUCGGAUUGUUUGGGAAUGCAGUCCAAAAUGGGUGGUAAAUUUCAUCUAAAGCUAAAUAUUGGCGAGAGACCGAUAGCGAACAAGUACCGUGAGGGAAAGAUGAAAAGAACUUUGAAAAGAGAGUUAAACAGUACGUGAAAUUGUCAAAAGGAGAAGCGUUUGACACCAGUGUUGUUUUCUCGAAAAUCAAUUAAAAAUGGCUCGAUUUUGUAUUGUUGAGACCUUAAAAGCUCACUGUACAUUUUUCGUGUCUUUUUUAAUGCACUUUUCGUUUAACAAGUCAACAUCAGUCUCUUUUGUUGUAAAAGGGUCAUUGGAAGGUGGCUUUCUUUUCGGAGAAAGUGUUUAUAGCCUUUGGCCUCUGCAAUCGGAGAGAUUGAGGUCUGCAGCGUAGAUCCUUCGGGGUUAGAUACAUUUGUGCUAAGUUAUAGCUUUUUAUAGACAACUUGUUGACUAUAAUUAGUCUUGUAGCUUACUCGCUUAUGCUAUUUUACCUACGCUUAGGAUGUUGAAGAUGUAGCACAUCAU
rnacentral:rRNA from 1 species